UCCUUAGUUUAGUAUAUAAGCCAGGGCUUUAGCUCAGAAUAGUUGCUAGGUAUUGUAUUCACUUUUGCGAUCUGCUGAGUGGUCUUUUCUUGGAGUGUAUUUUGUGCAUGAUCUUUGCCUUUCGUUUUCUCGACUUUGCCUUUUUGCUCUGUCCUUCGGAUUUGUUUGCCUUAUUUCUGAUUACUGUUUUUGACCCAUUGCCUGUCGCUUCGACCACGUUGUUGCCUAUCCCCUUUUUGGACUGGAUGCAUUAUCAGAUAGAGACUCAUUAACCAACUAGGAUGGAGAAACUUCAGCUCCAGUCUUUACUACAUCUCUACUGAGAGGAAGAGCUGGAGUGAGAGCAGACAGUUCUGCAGAGAGAGAGGAGCAGACCUGCUGAUCAUAAACAGCAGAGAAGAACAGGACUUUAUUGAAAAGUUGAGAAGAGGUCAGAGGGCUUGGAUUGGUGUGACUUACAGAGGCACAGAGAGAGUCUGGAGAUGGGUGGACAACUCAGUAGUGGCCACUAGGUUCUGGGGACGUGGACAACCAUACAGUUAUGGACGUUGUGUCAUAAAAGGCUAUGAGUCUGAUCCUGUACUGAACUGGGCUAAUUAUGACUGUAAUAAACAGCAUGUUUGGAUCUGUGAGAAGAGAAUAUUUAGUUAAAUUACUGCAUGUGAGUGAGAUCUGUUUUCAUAAUUGUUCCUCUUUUGAUCAGUAUUGAUCUGUGUUCUGAUGAUAUUUGAUUUUCUUUUCUUAUUUUCUUAUACAUUUUUAGAUACUGAGCUCUUCAAGAAUCUGGCUUUCUUCCUUUUUUAUCUUUCUAUCAUUUGUGUCUUUGUUAUGUUUCUAUCUGCUGCAAAAAGUCAAAAAGUGUCAAAAAAGAAAAAAAAAUGAAAUGAUCCUUUGCAGCAGACGAUUUUAAAAUUGGUAAAUAUUUCAUUGAUUUAUGCUAUUGUGACAAUUUAAGAAACUUUAAUAUGAUCUGAUGUUGUCAUAAUAAUAAUAAUAAUACUCUAAAAUUAGCAAAAACAUAUUUAAAACCACACUUGGUACAAUUUCUUUAAGAUGAGAAUAUCUGAAGAAGCUUCAAGCUCAACACUGUUAAGCUUAAACUGCUUAAAGAUCUAUUUAUUGCUGAACAGACUACAUGAAUCAACUGGUUUGAAAAGUGUUGAGGUUCUUUACUAUAAAAGAAGAAAUUUCAAACUUAUUCUAAGAAUAAUUUAACUAAAGAGUUUUGGAAUGUUUUUAGAUGUUUUUAGGAAGUUUGUAUGAUCAGCUAAAUAAGAUAACUGUGACUUAAGUUUCUAAAAGUUAGCUGGUUAAUCUUAACUAGUGACUGAUCUAGUCUAGUCUGUUAAUCUAAACUGAAAAACAAGAUCUUUUGUUCCUUUUAAAGACUUUCUGGCUUGUUAGGAUUGUAUUUGUUGCAGUGUCAGACUCAUGCAGGCUGAAGAUUCUCC